AAAAAGACGAUCAUUUCAAAUAAAACAGUUUUCUAAUGCAGCUCUUGCAAGAUGCAAUUCUUUAAUUUUCAUUUCUUUGUUGUCCUGGUGUUCUGCAUUGUGGCAUCUACGAUGUCGAUAAAUGUAGAUCGUUCCAUUUCUGGCCAACGUCCAGGUAAUGGAGUUGCUUGUAGAGGUCGAAGACCACCCAAUAACGGUGGUAAUGGGUCUACUGGUGGUAAUGGGUCUACUGGUGGAAAUGAUACCACAACUGGUGGGACAAAUUAAACAACUGGACGAUCGUAACGACUCAACCAUGACGAAUUACUCAAGAAAUAAAAAAUUGAAUAUAAAAAACCUACAUAAUUACAAUAUUACGAUAUGCAAUUAAUGUUUGUUUGUUUAUAUAAAAAUAAAGUAGUUACAAGUACAAAGUAAAUACCAUUG